rnacentral:tRNA from 1 species
AGGGAUGUAGCUCAGUGGUAGAGUACAUGCUUUGCAUGUAUGAAGCCCUGGGUUUAAUCCCCAGAGUCUCCU